AGCGAACGCUGGCGGCAGGCUUAACACAUGCAAGUCGAGCGGGCAUCCUUGUGGUGUCAGCGGCAGACGGGUGAGUAACGCGUGGGAACGUGCCCUUCGGUUCGGAAUAACUCAGGGAAACUUGAGCUAAUACCGGAUACGUGCGAGAGCAGAAAGGUUUAUCUGCCGAAGGAUCGGCCCGCGUCUGAUUCGCUAGUUGGUGAGGUUACGGCUCACCAAGGCGACGAUCAGUAGCUGGUCUGAGAGGAUGAUCAGCCACACUGGGACUGAGACACGGCCCAGACUCCUACGGGAGGCAGCAGUGGGGAAUAUUGGACAAGGGGGGCAACCCUGAUCCAGCCAUGCCGCGUGAGUGAUGACGGCCUUAGGGUUGUAAAGCUCUUUUCUCCGGGACGAUAAUGACGGUACCGGAGGAAUAAGCCCCGGCUAACUUCGUG
rnacentral:rRNA from 1 species